rnacentral:rRNA from 2 species
AGAGUUUGAUCCUGGCUCAGGACGAACGCUGGCGGCGCGCCUAACACAUGCAAGUCGAACGAGAGAUGAGGAGCUUGCUCUUCAAAUCGAGUGGCGAACGGGUGAGUAACGCGUGAGGAACCUGCCUCAAAGAGGGGGACAACAGUUGGAAACGACUGCUAAUACCGCAUAAGCCCACGGCUCGGCAUCGAGCAGAGGGAAAAGGAGUGAUCCGCUUUGAGAUGGCCUCGCGUCCGAUUAGCUAGUUGGUGAGGUAACGGCCCACCAAGGCGACGAUCGGUAGCCGGACUGAGAGGUUGAACGGCCACAUUGGGACUGAGACACGGCCCAGACUCCUACGGGAGGCAGCAGUGGGGAAUAUUGCACAAUGGGGGAAACCCUGAUGCAGCGACGCCGCGUGGAGGAAGAAGGUCUUCGGAUUGUAAACUCCUGUUGUUGAGGAAGAUAAUGACGGUACUCAACAAGGAAGUGACGGCUAACUACGUGCCAGCAGCCGCGGUAAAACGUAGGUCACAAGCGUUGUCCGGAAUUACUGGGUGUAAAGGGAGCGCAGGCGGGAGAACAAGUUGGAAGUGAAAUCCAUGGGCUCAACCCAUGAACUGCUUUCAAAACUGUUUUUCUUGAGUAGUGCAGAGGUAGGCGGAAUUCCCGGUGUAGCGGUGGAAUGCGUAGAUAUCGGGAGGAACACCAGUGGCGAAGGCGGCCUACUGGGCACCAACUGACGCUGAGGCUCGAAAGUGUGGGUAGCAAACAGGAUUAGAUACCCUGGUAGUCCACACCGUAAACGAUGAUUACUAGGUGUUGGAGGAUUGACCCCUUCAGUGCCGCAGUUAACACAAUAAGUAAUCCACCUGGGGAGUACGACCGCAAGGUUGAAACUCAAAGGAAUUGACGGGGGCCCGCAC